ACGUAGGGGGCGAGCGUUAUCCGGAUUCAUUGGGCGUAAAGCGCGCGUAGGCGGCCGCGCAGGCGGGGGGUCAAAUCCCGGGGCUCAACCCCGGGCCGCCCCCCGAACCGCGCGGCUUGGGUCCGGCAGGGGAGGGUGGAACGCCCGGUGUAGCGGUGGAAUGCGCAGAUAUCGGGCGGAACACCGGUGGCGAAGGCGGCCCUCUGGGCCGGCACCGACGCUGAGGCGCGAGAGCUAGGGGAGCGAACAG
rnacentral:rRNA from 1 species